GAAAGUUCGAAACCUACUUCUCUACUGUGUAUGACCUGAUACCUAGUAGAAAAAACACAAAACUUUACUUAGAGCAAGGCAUCAAAGAGUUCUACGACGAUGGUGUCCAGUACAUGGAGAUUAAGGUUGCAGGCAAGGUAGACGCAGACGGAAAUGACGUCACAGAUGAAUACUUGCAGCUGAUCCAAGAAGUGGUUGAAGACUUCAAGACUGAGCAUCCGGACUUCAUCGGGGCAAAGGUCAUCUUGGCUGGAC
rnacentral:sRNA from 1 species